GAAUGUGCCUGUGUUAUGUUAUGUGUCACAAUAGCAACAGUAACUAAGAAAAUAAAUUUCCAUCCCAAUGACAUUGUAAUCGACAUAUUGAGUCGAUUACUUACAGACGCAUGCAGGCAGCUCAUUAGGGUGGAUCUCGUGUAGGAAAAAACUUCAACAACUUGGUCAAGUCGAUGGGACCAAAAUAAUAUGUGGUGAAUAAUUUACGUCACCGGAAGAGUGCGUGGAAUGUGCCUGCACUUAGGCAUGUUGCAACAAAAACAGAAAGAAACCACAGAAGAGAAAUAUGAUGACCGCUUACACACUAGAUGAGGUCAUUUAAGCUUGUACAAACACCGUUGUUUUGCUUGGUUGCCACGCGACGACAUCAAAGCAAAAUUAAAGGAAAUUAUCAGACAAUCUUAGUUAAGUGCAUGAAGUUGAGAGAUGUCGUGGAUGAAAUUGGAAAUUAAUUAGAUACACAAGUGGUUUUAAUUAAAUGUGUUAAAAUUAGAAUUACUACUUUUCAAACGGUGCAAAAUUAUAUUAUGGUAUCUGCUAUUGGAAGGCAAAGACAGAAAAAAACAUACGGUGGAGAAUAAAACGGCCCAAUCCAAUGAAAGCUUUGUGAUUUUGAAAUAUAAAAUUGCUUAUCGUUGAGACUCGCACUAAUACUUAGUUCAUGCAGAAUUUGUAAGACCUGAUAAAGAUGUGCAGCAUGAAUUUAGUGGGAAUGUAGAGAAUUGCCAACAUAACGAAAUAUAUGUUCUGGUAUUAAAAUAUGAUAUGCAAACAUUUAUAAUUAAUUUAAAUAAAAUAGAAGCCUCAGAAUGUCUGAGACAGCAAAAAAUAGAAAAUAACAAAACCUUGACAAAACUAUUAGAGGGUUGGUUCUCUGUUUCAAACACAUGAUAUCUUAUGACUUAAUUAUUUCAGUUGUAACGAGUUUUAAAAGGUGCCCAUGUAGUGCAAGGUUACUGGCACGUUUGGGAAAUUGAACAUUCAGUGGAGAUUUAAAGUGAGAAAUAGAGAAGCUACUGUAACGAGUGAUGUAACCAAAGACCGCUUUUUGCCUAUAUUGUUCUAGAAAUGAGAUGUUCUUAACAUUUUAUUAACUUCUACCAGCGAAAACUGGUUAAAACGUGUUGUUUAUCCCACAUAUAGAAAUAGAUAUAUUCCAGCUUGACGGGUUUUAAGGACGAUAAACUUCUCUUAAGAUAAUUAACAAAAAUGUAUCUCUAUUUGACUCGAUAAGUAUCUUGUGGCAAAUGUAUAAAUACAACAAGCAGUUUGAAUAAACGAAACUUUUUAUUAUGUAAAACAUUGUCGCGUUUGUGAACAUCACUUCUUGUCAUUGUCAUGUUUACGUUCACAUGGCUUCAAGUAGAGAUUGACGUCAAAAACGACAGACACCGACGACUAAUAUAAAAUAACAUUAAACAUUGCGAAAGUUUUGGCAAAGCAAAACGAAAACGAUCGAGCGCAUGUACUUAAACGACCGACGUGGUCAAAACACAAAAUAUUAUUUACGUCAUUGUAAUAAUUGUGUUUAAUGAUGAUACAAGAAUAUGACAAAAAACUGUUUGGAUAAGCAUGCACAGGAAAAACUUAUCUUUGUACAAACACGUCAAACGUAGCUACAGUUGUCAUGACAUAAAACACAGACUUUAGCGCACAACUUAGCACGUUGCUAGGCAAUCAUAACAAACGCCUAAUUAAACGUCUGAUGAUUAAAAGAAAGGAAGUUGAGAUAUGUGCCCCAUACAUCACGAUAUACUGUACAAUUAAGUUAGUCAUUCAUUUAAAAACUUAAGUUGUUUUGUUUCGAAGAUAAAUAUUAUGUUGUCAUGUUGGUUAAUUAAGUAUAUAAUUAGCGUUAAUUGCUUUUCAUUUUUAGAUCUCAAUUUUGAGCUUAUUUAAUCACGUUGUAUUUUUGUGCAUCACCAUGCCACUAUAUAUUGUUAACGUUUUACAGACUUCCGAUAGGUCUGUAAUUUAUAAACUGAAGUUUUAAAAUGAGUUUAGCUUGAUGAGUAUGACUUAUCCCUCGAAAAUGAUCGAGUAAGGAUAAAAAAGAUUUUACGUCUUCAGGACUUCCAUCCUAAAGCCAGUAGGAACACACCCUUAAGUGGUAUGGACUAACAACACCACCAUAAUCCGGCUAAGUUUGUAUGACGUGAGCUGGGCAAGGGCUGCCUCACGGGCUGAGAAGAAAUUUACCUAGCGUCAAAAUGGCUUUGGUCACCAUACUUCACAUACUUCACCGAAUCACCUUAUCAAGUGAGGUACUUUUUAUAAGAAUAUAACUACUUUCUGAUCUUUGCUAGGCUGGUAGGUUUACUGGCUCAGGUCACCUUUACAUGGCUUGGAAAGCCAAAACAUACAAGUAGUUAUAAUACGGUAACCAAAUUGUUGCUGGCUUGUUUUCCAGAACAAACUGCUCAUCAGUAUUUUGUUUAACAUAUUUUUGUUUGACAUAUUUUUGUUUGACAUAUUUUUGUUGAGUUUUUAAACCUGUAUUGUUCAAUAUUUUUUUUAUUAAGUAACAUGGACACAACAGUGCAAUAAAAAUCCACAGCGCAGUUAAACUGACACAGGUCACAGUAGAAAUUAUUAAUGUUUGGCUUGUGAAUUACUCAUCACAGUGACACUAAAUUGCAAAUAAUGACGAAAUAAAAAUGCAGACGAUUUCACAUUAGAUGAUGAAAAAAAAAAUCGCGAAUUGGACAAUUUUUGUUUACCAGCAGAGUAGACAUAACUGCAAAUAAAUUGUUAAUCCCCACGAUACCCGAAUAAAAUUUUGUUUGUCAGAAUGUAACAAACACUGUGAAAGGUAAAUCCUUCUACCCGUGUAUUGCGAAAGAAAUAUGACACAAAAUCUGCGCGUGAUCAAUGGCGCAGAUGUAGUGUUACACAAUAAUGGCGGAGCUGUAGUGUUACAGAAUAUCAAGCCAUUGUGGCUAACAGAAUUGAAGUUACAAAUUCGAAAUGACACAAAUAGAAAAGAUAAUAAUAGACUUAGAUUUACAUAUAUACAUUUCAUACAUUUUCAAUUUCCAAUUGUGUUUUGUUAUAAUUUUUUUUGUCAUUCAUGGUAUGCAGGAUCACAAACGUUGAAUAGUCAAAUCUCAUUAAAAAGAUGCAGUGGACCAAUUAUUUUAUUCGUGGUUUGGUCAAAAAGAAGAAGCAGUUUAAACUUAGAAUGUUGCUCUUACUCCAGAAUUUGAAUUUGUUAUCGUUUUUCUGUACAACAUCACAACUUCUUAAAUACCAGCCUCAUUCAAAGAAGUUGGAAACAAAACAACGUUUUAUUAACACUGACAUGAUAGUACUGUGAACCUAUGCUGCAUCAAAACUUACGUAAUAUUGUCACAAGAAUGACUAUUUUCCACAA